GGGGAAUUUUCCGCAAUGGGCGCAAGCCUGACGGAGCAAUACCGCGUGAGGGAGGAAGGUCUGUGGAUUGUAAACCUCUUUUGAUAGGGAAGAACACAAUGACGGUACCUAUCGAAUCAGCAUCGGCUAACUCCGUGCCAGCAGCCGCGGUAAUACGGAGGAUGCAAGCGUUAUCCGGAAUUAUUGGGCGUAAAGCGUCCGUAGGUGGUUAAUCAAGUCUAUUGUCAAAGCCUGGGGCUUAACCCUGGAGAGGCAGUGGAAACUGGUUGACUUGAGUGCGGUAGGGGCAGAGGGAAUUCCCAGUGUAGCGGUGAAAUGCGUAGAUAUUGGGAAGAACACCGGUGGCGAAAGCGCUCUGCUGGGCCUGCACUGACACUGAGGGACGAAAGCUAGGGGAGCGAAAGGGAUUAGAUACCCCUG
rnacentral:rRNA from 1 species